rnacentral:rRNA from 1 species
GUGGGGAAUCUUGCGCAAUGGGCGAAAGCCUGACGCAGCCAUGCCGCGUGAAUGAUGAAGGUCUUAGGAUUGUAAAAUUCUUUCACCGGGGACGAUAAUGACGGUACCCGGAGAAGAAGCUCCGGCUAACUUCGUGCCAGCAGCCGCGGUAAUACGAAGGGGGCUAGCGUUGCUCGGAAUUACUGGGCGUAAAGGGCGCGUAGGCGGACAGCUUAGUCAGAGGUGAAAGCCCAGGGCUCAACCUUGGAAUUGCAUUUGAUACUGGCUGUCUUGAGUUUGGGAGAGGUGAGUGGAACUCCGAGUGUAGAGGUGAAAUUCGUAGAUAUUCGGAAGAACACCAGUGGCGAAGGCGACUCACUGGCCCAAUACUGACGCUGAGGCGCGAAAGCGUGGGGAGCAAACAGGAUUAGAUACCCUGGUAGUCC